CAAUAGCGUAUAUUAACGUUGUUGCAGUUAAAAAGCUCGUAGUUGGAUUUCUGGAGGGAGCGUCGGCCCGUAUUUACGAGUGCGUGACGUCUCUGUCCAUCCUUGCGGGAAGGCACGGCAUUGAUUUGUUGUGUCGGAUCGCAUCAUUUACUGUGAAAAAAUUAGUGUUCAAAGCAGGCUUUCGCUUGAAUACAUUAGCAUGGAAUAAUAAGAUAGGACUUUGGUGCUAUUUUGUUGGUUGAGCCUAAAGUAAUGAUUAAUAGGGAUAGUUGGGGGCACCUGUAUUGCGUUGUCAGAGGUGAAAUUCUUGGAUUUACGCAAGACAAACAGCUGCGAAAGCGUCUGCCAAGGAUGUUUUCAUUAA
rnacentral:rRNA from 1 species